AAACAUGUUACAGAAUAGCUUGCUAGCUGUGCAUUAUAUAUAAUCAAUCCAACUGUUUGCAUCAACAAAAAUCCAGAUGCGAAGUGCUUUGCCAGAUUAGCGGCUACCUGGCAUUUUAGCUAGCAAGCUUUUUGUCAUUAGCCAGGUUGUUAAUUGGCUAACCAUGGUUCAUUCUUUUGGAACCAGUUACAAAUGUACAUAUUGUUGAAUAGAUGUGCCGCUGUAUAGCUUCGCGUCAGUAACAUCAGUAGAAAAAAUAUAUAGUUACACCAGUUAUAACAAUGUCAUAUGGUGCACGUCCAUCUUUAUGUCGGCUAUGCAUGCAUUCUAUUACUUAUUCCCAUGACAAAUAGUAUCUCUCCUUAUUUCACAGUAAACUAAUCGAUUGCAACAGAAAACAGGUCUCUUGAAAAAUGUGUAUCUAUCUGAAGAGACUAACCAGGUUAAAUAAUGUAGAAACAAUAGAAGAUGCCUUAGGGCAAUUGGUUUCUUAUUAAGCAUGAUUGAGUGACAGGAAGUUGACUGACAGAACGUUGUCUUUGUGCCUUCUUCCCUGUAAUCAAAAUAAGUGCAUUAGUAAAUAGCCCAGUGGUAGGUUAACUACCUAACGUUGUGUAAUUGGUAACUAGUGCAUUAGUAAAUAGCCCAGUGGUAGGUUAACUACCUAACGUUGUGUAAUUGGUAACUAGUGCAUUAGUAAAUAGCCCAGUGGUAGGUUAACUACUUAACGUUGUGUAAUUGGUAACUAGUGCAUUAGUAAAUAGCCCAGUGGUAGGUUAACUACCUAACGUUGUGUAAUUGGUAACUAGUGCAUUAGUAAAUAGCCCAGUGGUAGGUUAACUACCUAACGUUGUGUAAUUGGUAACUAGUGCAUUAGUAAAUAGCCCAGUGGUAGGUUAACUACCUAACGUUGUGUAAUUGGUAACUAGUGCAUUAGUAAAUAGCCCAGUGGUAGGUUAACUACCUAACGUUGUGUAAUUGGUAACUAGUGCAUUAGUAAAUAGCCCAGUGGUAGGUUAACUACCUAACGUUGUGUAAUUGGUAACUAGUGCAUUAGUAAAUAGCCCAGUGGUAGGUUAACUACCUAACGUUGUGUAAUUGGUAACUAGUGCAUUAGUAAAUAGCCCAGUGGUAGGUUAACUACCUAACGUUGUGUAAUUGGUAACUAGUGCAUUAGUAAAUA